CUACGGAGGGGGCUAGUGUUGUUCGGAAUUACUGGGCGUAAAGCGUACGUAGGCGGACUGAUCAGUUGGGGGUGAAAUCCCAGGGCUUAACCCUGGAACUGCCUUCAAUACUGUCAGUCUUGAGUUUGGGAGAGGUGAGUGGAAUUCCUAGUGUAGAGGUGAAAUUCAUAGAUAUUAGGAGGAACACCAGUGGCGAAGGCAGCUCACUGGCCCAUUACUGACGCUGAGGUACGAAAGCGUGGGGAGCAAACAGGAUUAGAAACCCUUGUAGUCC
rnacentral:rRNA from 1 species